rnacentral:ncRNA from 2 species
UACAAAAGUGGCGAUGGAGUUCGCCAAAAAUGCCUACCUAGGCUGAUAACUCCUACAAAUUA